AGGGAAAUACGUAUAGGUGGUAGAGGAAGAUUACUACUGGGAGCUGGACUGUGAUUGGCUGAGGUUGGCACCUAGGCAUGGGCCCUGGCUGUAGAUGCAGGAACUGAUGCUGGCCACGGGGAUGGUGCCAGUGUGUGGAGCGCUGUCGCUUAUGAGGAGCUCUUGCGAUUCCGCUUUCCUUUCAGGAAAAAGGUUCCUCCAGGGCUUCGUAGCUCACUUUAAUUCUUGGUGACUGACUCUGUGACUUAUUUGAUGAAAGAUGGGCAACACACACACACACACACACACACAAAUCCCAGUCAUUAUGCAUGUAACAGCCCAUUGCUUAGAAGGUAUUGUAUAUCUAGUGCAGUCAUCAUGAAUCCCCUUCCUUUGACUUCCUCCAUCCUGACUAUGUCAAUAGAGGAAGCUAUGGGUUGAAUGGAAAUUUGAGUUUAUUACUCAUUAUUCCCAAAAGGAGAACUCAUGGAAAAGAUUUGUCUCUUCCUUCUAAAGUACCCUAGUAUUGAUUCCCAUGUAGUUUCCCUGCAGUUAAAGCUGUCUUUCCAAUUCAUCCUUUGACCAAACACCUGCUCAUACACGACUAGCCCAGUGGCCUAUCAAAAUAAUAUUUUGCAUCAUUAGCUUUGAAUACUUGAAAUCAGUUCAAUGCCUGGAAAGCUCUAAUGAGCAUGACUCCGUGUGGAGGUCUCCAGAGAGGAUGAGGGCCUUUGACAUUGCUUUGCCGUUGUUUUGAUGCAGAGAUGGGGUAGGUUCCAUUACCGUUGCCUCCACCCCACCCCACCCCAACACUGUAUGAGAAAGUUCUCCAAUCCACACACACUGAAAGCUUAGAAAGACUCUGAUGUCAGGGGAUUGCUGGUUUCCUUUUAAGGUCAACAUAUUACGUUUAUUAGGUCGAACCAUAAAAUUGUCAGUUUGGGUAAUGAGAGGCCCUCAGAUCCCAGAGGACACCCUACAAGAAGAAGUCAGAAUCGUGCUGAAGACCCGGUCUCCAGCAAACAUAGGAAUGAACAGGACGGUCGCCUAA
rnacentral:lncRNA from 1 species